AGUGAACGCUGGCGGUAGGCCUAACACAUGCAAGUCGAACGGCAGCACAGUAAGAGCUUGCUCUUACGGGUGGCGGGUGGCGGACGGGUGAGGAAUACAUCGGACUCUACUUUUUCGUGGGGGCUAACGUAGGGAAACUUACGCUAAUACCGCAUACGACCUACGGGGGAAAGCAGGGGUUCUUCGGACCUUGCGCGAUUGAAUGAGCCGAUGUCGGAUUAGCUAGUUGGCGGGGUAAAGGCCCACCAAGGCGACGAUCCGUAGCUGGUCUGAGAGGAUGAUCAGCCACACUGGAACUGAGACACGGUCCAGACUCCUACGGGAGGCAGCAGUGGGGAAUAUUGGACAAUGGGCGCAAGCCUGAUCCAGCCAUACCGCGUGGGUGAAGAAGGCCUUCGGGUUGUAAAGCCCUUUUGUUGGGAAAGAAAAGCAGCAGGUUAAUACCCCGCUGUUCUGACGGUACCCAAAGAAUAAGCACCGGCUAACUUCGUG
rnacentral:rRNA from 1 species